AAUCAAAUAGAUUAAAAAAAAAACAUUAAAAAGGCAAUACUGGCCAGUCCUGGUGUCUGAGUGAUU
rnacentral:snoRNA from 1 species